UUUGCAGUGGGCAAUGUAGAAACUCAUUU
rnacentral:sRNA from 1 species